AUUGAACGCUGGCGGCAGGCCUAAUACAUGCAAGUCGAACGAGAGGCGGACGGGCGAGUCAUGUCUGGAAAACUGCCUGACGGACGGGGAUAACUACUGGAAACGGUAGAUAAUACCGCUUACCAUCAGAUGGGUCGAGAUGGGUUUAGCUAGUUGGUGGGGUAACGGCUAACCAAGGCGACGAUCCCUAGCUGGUCUGAGAGGAUGAACAGCCACACUGGAACUGAGACACGGUCCAGACUCCUACGGGAGGCAGCAGUAGGGAAUAUUGCACAAUGGGCGAAAGCCUGAUGCAGCCAGGCCGCGUGUAUGAAGAUGGCCUUCGGGUUGUAAAGUACUUUCAGCGGGGAGGCGUUACCCGCAGAAGAAGCACCGGCUAACUCCGUGCCAGCAGCCGCGGUAAUAC
rnacentral:rRNA from 1 species